rnacentral:rRNA from 1 species
UACGAAGGGGGCUAGCGUUGCUCGGAAUUACUGGGCGUAAAGCGCACGUAGGCGGAUUGUUAAGUCGGGGGUGAAAUCCUGGAGCUCAACUCCAGAACUGCCUUUGAUACUGGGGAUCUCGAGUCCGGGAGAGGUGAGUGGAACUCCGAGUGUAGAGGUGAAAUUCGUAGAUAUUCGGAAGAACACCAGUGGCGAAGGCGGCUCACUGGCCCGGUACUGACGCUGAGGUGCGAAAGCGUGGGGAGCAAACAGG